CAGAGCGACUACCUAGGGUUACAAGUCUUUUGCCCCAAGCCCUAUACCACUAUUCUCCCGUCUUUUCCCAUCUCUUUCCCGUAGCAAAACAAAACCCUAGGCUAAAUCCUAAACCUAAUCGCGAUCCUGCCUUUGUUUAGUUUAUUUUUUCGUUUGAUUUAUUUAACAAUCAAAGGAUUGAUUUCACCAAAGGUGUUAUUUUUUAAUGGAGCCUAGGAAGGACGGAAGGCUAGACAAACACUUUUGCGGCUAAAUGUCUCAAAAGAAUAUCCAUAUUACUCGCCAAGGAAAAACACCAGCAAAGAUGAAUUACACCGUAUUUGAUGAGGCUCGACAAAAGCUGAAGAUCUUGGAAGUCUGGCAGCCGUUAGUGCGGUUUCUAUAAGGUCUAAUCGUAAUCAUGGUCACUGAGGUACCUUAAAGUUAGAUGUCAAGUCACUUUAAAUCAUGGAGCCAAAGUAUGGUUCCGUUCAGAAGGCCUGAGAAAGAAGAAGGGUGUUUGUUCUCUAUAUAACAACUCAUUUGGGUAAUUAGUUUAAAAGCAGUAGUGUUCAUUUCAACUUAUGUAUAUGGGUGUUGUGUGAGGGCUCAGGUUGUAAUGAAAGAUGUUUCCAGUUCCUGGACUCUUUAACUAAGCAUGAAACAACUGACGCCACAGAUAACAUAUAGUCUUUAAAACUUAAACUUUUGAAACUUGAUUCCGUAGCUUCUUGAUUUGGCUUAUUAAUUGUCCAUUUUUGCUUCGGUUAUAA